rnacentral:lncRNA from 1 species
CAGAACAUGUAUGGGCUUGCCUCAGUUCCAACUCAGCAAUAGUGCAGAUAUUAAUUUCCAUUGUAUUUGAUUGGUGUGGCUCGGACAUAAGGAGGACCUUCUGUAACGGUUAAAUGAAGCAAAGCCUUCAUGGUGUAACAACAACAAGCCAUGUAAAUAGGUACGAGAGGGCUGGAGUUUGAAAAUGAGGGAGCACUGGGAAAGGAACGCCAGGAAGGUAACAGGAUCGCCUGCAUAACCCCCCGGAGGAGGUAAGCAGGGUUUUCGGGGAGCCGGGGUAGGUUGAACAAAUCCACUAGUAGCAGAAAGGUUACUGGGUGGUUGG